GUCCACGCUGUAAACGAUGACGACUAGGUGUGGGGUGGUUCAGUCCAUUCCGUGCCGCAGCUAACGCAUUAAGUCGUCCGCCUGGGGAGUACGGCCGCAAGGUUGAAAACUCAAAGGAAUUGACGGGGGCCCGCACAAGCGGUGGAGCAUGUGGUUCAAUUCGAUGCAGAGCGAAGAACCUUACCUGGGCUUGACAUGUAGGAAGUAGAAACCCCGAAAGGGGGACGACCCGUUAAGUCGGGAACCUGCACAGGUGGUGCAUGGCUGUCGU
rnacentral:rRNA from 1 species